rnacentral:misc_RNA from 1 species
UGACCUCAUUCUCAGAAAUAGCCCCUGAUGGAAUUGGACGAUAAGGUUCAUUAAUAGCAUCGAUUUCUCGGUCAUAAUAAUCAUUGAGCGUCUGAGUGUAGCCAGUAAGAAAUGGACCAGACAUCAUCAUGCAAACAAUUGAUUUGGCAACAUCCUCCAAGUUCCACUGAAAGUUCCCAGAAGCAGCAGCUCCACAAAUUACUCCCCAGACCAAAGGAGGCCAAGUAACAGGUUUUGUGAGUUGAAGCCGGAUCUUCCAUUUGUUUGUUUCUUGCUUGGCUCCUUUAAUACCAAGAAGCUGGUUGAAGCUUGAACCACUACCGGCGGGAGCCUUAUCCGGAGCCUGAGGUUUAACUUCAUUUGCAUCAGUCUCUGCUGCUCUAAUCGUAAGCCUACGCCUUGUGGCAGAAAUAGAGAGAGGAGAGAGAAGUGACCGAGUCCGAACUCGUCUAGUAUGGAUAUUGGAUACACUCAUGGAUAAAACGGUGCUCAGAGAAAACGCCAUUGAAGACAAAAAGCUGCUAAUG